UAAAAUAAUUAAGGGCACACAAAGGAUGCCUAGGUAGUAAGAGCCGAUGAAGGACGUGGUAAGCUGCGAUAAGCCUAGAUAAGUUGCAAUCGAACGUAAGAGUCUAGGAUUUCCGAAUGGAGCAAUCUAUUAAGAUGGAGUCUUAAUACGAAAGAGGGAACCGCGUGAACUGAAACAUCUAAGUAACGCGAGGAAAAGAAAGUAAAAACGAUACCCAAAGUAGCGGCGAGCGAAAUGGGUCAAGCCUAAACCUUAAAUAUGUCAAGGAUACAGCCGUUGUAUUUAAGGGGUUGAGGGACAGAGUAGUGAAGAACUGUAAGAUAUUCAAUAUAGUGUAUUGAUGAAUUGGAAUUGUCUGGAAAGGCGAACCGUAGAAGGUGAAAGUCCUGUACAAGUAAAUCCUUACACAUAUAACUCUGCUCCCAAGUAACAUGGAACACGAGGAAUUCUGUGUGAAUCUGUGAGGACCAUAUCUCAUAAGGCUAAAUACUCUUACUAACCGAUAGCGUAUAGUACCGUGAGGGAAAGGUGAAAAGAACCCCUGGAGGGGAGUGAAAUAGAACCUGAAAUUGUGUGCUUACAAGCGGUCAGAGCCAGUAAUGGUGAUGGCGUGCCUUUUGGAGAAUGAUCCUGCGAGUUACGUUAAACGGCGAGGUUAAGUAUAACGGAGCCGAAGGGAAACCAAGUCUUAAUAGGGCGAUUUAGUCGUUUGGCGUAGACGCGAAACCUGGUGAUCUAAACCUGUCCAGGAUGAAGCUGUGGUAAGACACAGUGGAGGUCCUAACCCACCGCCGUUGAAAAGUUGGGGGAUGAGGUAGGUUUAGGGGUGAAAAGCCAAUCGAACCAGGAGAUAGCUCGUUCUCUCCGAAAUGCAUCUAGGUGCAGCCUUGAGUGUUCAAUUAUGGGGGUAGAGCACUGAAUGAUCUAGGGGGCGUAUUGCUUACUGAAAUCAAUCAAACUCCGAAUACCAUAAUUUAGAGCUCAGGAGUGAGACUAUGGGAGUUAACUUCCAUUGUCGAAAGGGAAACAACCCAGACCACCAGCUAAGGUCCCUAAUUAUAACUAAGUGGGAAAGGAGGUGGAGAUUCACAAACAACUAGGAGGUUGGCUUAGAAGCAGCCAUACCUUUAAAGAGUGCGUAAUAGCUCACUAGUCGAGAGUCUCUGCGCCGACAAUGUAACGGGGCUAAGUUAUAAACCGAAGCUGUGGAAUCCGUAAGGAUUGGUAGGAGAGCGUUCUGUAGGCCGUUGAAGGAGAAGGGUAACCGACUCUGGAGGUAUCAGAAGUGAGAAUGCAGGAAUAAGUAGCGAGAAAGGGGGCGAGAAUCCCCCUCGCCGGAAGACCAAGGUUUUCAGGGUAAAGCUUGUCUUCCCUGAGUAAGCCGGGACCUAAGCCCAGGCUAUAAUGCGUAGGCGAAUGGAAAACAGAUUAAUAUUUCUGUGCCAGUCAUAUAUUGUGAUGGAGGGACGCAGAAGGGUAUGCGCGCGGACGAACGGAAGUGUCCGUAGAAGUAUGUAGGAUGACUUGAUAGGUAAAUCCAUUGAGUUAUAUCUGAGGUAUGAUAUACAGUCGUAAGAUGAAUGUGCAAAUCCCACGCUGCCAAGAAAAGCUUCUAACGUUAAUAUUUGACUGCCCGUACUGUAAACCGACACAGGUGGUCAGGAUGAGAAAUCUAAGGCGGACAGGCUAACUCUCGUUAAGGAACUCUGCAAAAUAACCUCGUAACUUCGGGAGAAGAGGAGCCCUUGGGUGUUAGUAUCCAUGCGUUACAAAGCACUCGAGGGUCGCAGUGAAGAGGCUCAAGCAACUGUUUAACAAAAACACAGGUCUAUGCUAAGCUGGAAGGCGAUGUAUAUGGGCUGACACCUGCCCAGUGCUGGAAGGUUAAGAGGAGGAGUGAGAGCUCCGAAUUGAAGCCCCAGUGAACGGCGGCCGUAACUAUAACGGUCCUAAGGUAGCGAAAUUCCUUGUCGGGUAAG
rnacentral:rRNA from 1 species